UACGUAGGUGGCAAGCGUUGUCCGGAAUUAUUGGGCGUAAAGAGCGCGUAGGCGGCCCGGAAAGUCGGAUGUGAAAACCCGGGGCUCAACCCCGGGCCUGCAUCCGAUACUCCCGGGCUGGAGGCAGGUAGGGGAGAUCGGAAUUCCUGGUGUAGCGGUGAAAUGCGCAGAUAUCAGGAGGAACACCGGUGGCGAAGGCGGAUCUCUGGGCCUGUCCUGACGCUGAGGCGCGAAAGCGUGGGGAGCGAACGGG
rnacentral:rRNA from 1 species